rnacentral:sRNA from 1 species
CGAGUGAGGGCCUCUGGGUCCAACCUCCCACCCGUGUUUAUUUUACCUUGUUGCUUCGGCGGGCCCGCCUUAACUGGCCGCCGGGGGGCUUACGCCCCCGGGCCCGCGCCCGCCGAAGACACCCUCGAACUCUGUCUGAAGAUUGUGGUCUGAGUGAAAAUAUAAAUUAUUUAAAACUUUCAACAACGGAUCUCUUGGUUCCGGCAUCGAUGAAGAACGCAGCGAAAUGCGAUACGUAAUGUGAAUUGCAAAUUCAGUGAAUCAUCGAGUCUUUGAACGCACAUUGCGCCCCCUGGUAUUCCGGGGGGCAUGCCUGUCCGAGCGUCAUUUCUGCCCUCAAGCACGGCUUGUGUGUUGGGCCCCGUCCUCCGAUCCCGGGGGACGGGCCCGAAAGGCAGCGGCGGCACCGCGUCCGGUCCUCGAGCGUAUGGGGCUUUGUCACCCGCUCUGUAGUGCCCGGCCGGCGCUUGCCGAUCAACCCAAAUUUUUAUCCAGGUUGACCUCGGAUCAGGUAGGGAUACCCGCUGAACUUAAGCAUAUCAAUAAGCGGAGGA